UUCUGGCCCCUCAGUGGACGUCUUUUCAACCUGAGACAAGACCUCAAAAAGACGUCUUCUGGACGUAAUUUGCUCAGUGGGGUGGGGCGUUCAAGGUGAAUGUUCACUACUUCACAUGUGUCUGUUACAGAUGUUUUGUCUAUGUCUGUCUUUCAGUUCUAUUUAUAAAGCAUGUUCAGAUGUGCUUUGUUUGUUUGAAGUGAUUGUUAUUAAUUAUUGUGUAUUCUUGAUGUGUUUGUAUUGUAGAAUAUUAUCACUGAGUGAUGGAAAUGAUCGAAUUCACUUGAAUUUUUCUGUAUGGUCAGUUCAGUUUCUACUGCCACGUUCCUGAAGAGCUGCGAAGAGAGGUUUUUCCUGUUACAUAUGGAUUUUCAUCUUUCUUAUAAGUUAAUAAAAAGUUGUAACUUUUUAAUGCUUAA